AGAGGCUGAACAGAGGCUCGAACACGCGGCGUAGAGGACUGAACAGAGGGCUAAGCAGCUCGAACAAGGCUUGGCCAAAAAGGAGGCGGAUGCGCGGCGAACAAGGGCGACGUUGCGCCGAAGCUGUAGCAAUGUGGACGGCGGCGGUGGCUGGACGUUGAGGAACGGCGACGAGAGAGGGCUGCUUCGGUGCUUCCUCCAAGCUGCGUUCAAGUUCUCUUCUCUGCGUUCUUCAGUGUGUUCGUUCAGAGGCCAGAGAGAGGGAAGUGAGGGAGUGAGGAGGAGCUCGAUGAGAGGAAGGAGGAGAGUGGCUGAGUGAGACUGUGAGAGAGGAGGGGCCAAGAAGGUGCUGCGCGUUUUGGUUACUGGUUAGGGUCAAGUUUCUGAGAACCGGAUCGGUCAUCAAACCACUUUAGUUACUGGUUUACUGGUCCAACCGGUCUAACCGGUGGUUCAACUGAAAAAACCGUUUUAGAAUAGAAUAAUAAAUAAAUUAUAAAUAUGCAAAUAUUAAGUUGAGGGUAUAAGGUAGUAUGAAGUUUUUCUAAUGGAGUGGUGAAUUACUCUUAGGAUUUUCCUUUUUUUAUAUUAAAUGCAAAAAUGCCAGAUGAAAGCAUGAUACCAAGCAAGUACAAUUCCUCAUCAGUACACAAAAUGUUAAAAGAAAUAUCUGACAAAAAUAGGAAGAAUAUCAAAUGAAUUAUCAUAAAUCCAACUAAAAAUAAACAUAGUACUCGGAUAAAUAAAUUUGAUAACAUUAUUAAUAACAAAGUUGGUAGUGGACUAGUGCUAGAAAGGAUUCACCAAAUGAAGGUGCAUACAGGCUUUUAGAGACAAUAGACUUGGAUUUGUGCAGUAGCAUUUUGGAUGAGUUGCUUUGAAGACCAUUUGGUAAAACUAAGCUUUGAAUAGGUAAAAUACAGGCUUCACCAAAUGCUCAUAACACACAGAAAGACAGUUUCUCAAGAUACAUAAAUAAGUGCUCAUAAUAAUCAUCUGAAUCGGUAUAAGGCAGGAAAAAAUGACCAUAAGUCUCUUUACCCAAGUCAAAAUAAAUAACCAUAUCUGAACUCAACAAUCAGCAUUCAGCACCAAACAUUACAAAAUAUUAACCAAUAAUCACACUAAACGCACCAAACAUUACAAAAUAUUAACCAAUAAUCACACUAAACCUGCAACCAGCAAUUACAAAACAGAAACAAACAUUAGUACAUUAUAAAACAUUCCAAAACAGUGAUGACACUAAACCUGCAUAGUAAAUAAUCUCAAAGACAAUGAUCACCAAUAUCCAGCAAAUAAAUAAUAAAUACACAACAACAAUUUAGCAAAUAAACAAGAACAAGACCUAAAUAGAAAAUCCAACAAAUUAAGUCGCAGCAACCUAACAAUUUGACAAAUUAAAACAACAGCAGCCCAACAAUUUAGCAAAUUAUCAACUUAACAAAUUCAAGAACAGAAAAUCACAACAAAA